rnacentral:rRNA from 1 species
AGCGAACGCUGGCGGCAGGCCUAACACAUGCAAGUCGAACGAACCUUUCGGGGUUAGUGGCGGACGGGUGAGUAACACGUGGGAACGUGCCUUUAGGUUCGGAAUAACUCAGGGAAACUUGUGCUAAUACCGAAUGUGCCCUUCGGGGGAAAGAUUAAUCGCCUUUAGAGCGGCCCGCGUCUGAUUAGCUAGUUGGUUGAGGUAAUGGCUCACCAAGGCGACGAUCAGUAGCUGGUCUGAGAGGAUGAUCAGCCACAUUGGGACUGAGACACGGCCCAAACUCCUACGGGAGGCAGCAGUGGGGAAUCUUGCGCAAUGGGCGAAAGCCUGACGCAGCCAUGCCGCGUGAAUGAUGAAGGUCUUAGGAUUGUAAAAUUCUUUCACCGAGGACGAUAAUGACGGUACCCGGAGAAGAAGCCCCGGCUAACUUCGUG